AUGCCCUUAGAUGUUCUGGGCCGCACGCGCGCUACACUGACAAAGCCAGCGAGUUUAUCACCUUGGCCGGAAGGUCCGGGUAAUCUUGUGAAACUUUGUCGUGCUGGGGAUAGAGCAUUGCAAUUAUUGCUCUUCAACGAGGAAUGCCUAGUAAGCGCAAGUCAUCAGCUUGCGUUGAUUACGUCCCUGCCCUUUGUACACACCGCCCGUCGCUACUACCGAUUGAAUGGCUUAGUGAGGUCUUCGGAUUGGCUUUGAGGACCCGGCAACGGGAUUUCGUUGCUGAGAAGUUGAUCAAACUUGGUCAUUUAGAGGAAGUAAAAGUCGUAACAAGGUUUCCGUAGGUGAACCUGCGGAAGGAUCAUUAAUGAAACUUCAAGUCGGCCGUUCUGUGCUGGUGGAAACACAUGUGCACGUUCAGUCGCAAUCCACACACCUGUGCACUUUGACUCUGAGCACCGCCGGUAACACGGCAGAAGGUUCUUAGGACUAAGGUCUGAACCCGGUACUCGAGUAUUUUACACACUCUGAAUGUAAUGGAAUGUCACUGUACAAUGUACAAUUAUAAACAACUUUCAACAACGGAUCUCUUGGCUCUCGCAUCGAUGAAGAACGCAGCGAAAUGCGAUAAGUAAUGUGAAUUGCAGAAUUCAGUGAAUCAUCGAAUCUUUGAACGCACCUUGCACCCUUUGGUAUUCCGAAGGGUACACCCGUUUGAGUGUCAUUGUAAUCUCACUUCAAUAACUUUGUUGUUGAAUGUGGACUUGGAUGUUGUCGUGUUCAACGACUCAUCUUAAAUGCCUGAGUGUACCCUGCUUUGCAGCGUAUCAGUGUGAUAAACAUCUUCACUGUUAAGUCUUUCGAGACACGCUUGUGUUGUGGGCUCUAUGCUUCUAACCGUCUUUGGACAAUCUCUGACAAUUUGAC
rnacentral:rRNA from 1 species